rnacentral:rRNA from 1 species
UACGAAGGGGGCUAGCGUUGCUCGGAAUCACUGGGCGUAAAGCGCACGUAGGCGGAUUGCUAAGUCAGGGGUGAAAUCCUGGAGCUCAACUCCAGAACUGCCUUUGAUACUGGCGAUCUUGAGUCCGGGAGAGGUGAGUGGAACUGCGAGUGUAGAGGUGAAAUUCGUAGAUAUUCGCAAGAACACCAGUGGCGAAGGCGGCUCACUGGCCCGAUACUGACGCUGAGGCACGAAAGCGUGGGGAGCGAACAGG